UACGUAGGGCGCAAGCGUUGUCCGGAAUUAUUGGGCGUAAAGAGCUCGUAGGCGGUCCGUUGCGUCUGCCGUGAAAACCCGAGGCUUAACCUCGGGCCUGCGGUGGAUACGGGCGGACUAGAGGUAGGUAGGGGAGAAUGGAAUUCCCGGUGUAGCGGUGAAAUGCGCAGAUAUCGGGAGGAACACCCGUAGCGAAGGCGGCACUCUGGGCCGGAACUGACGCUGAGGCGCGAAAGCGUGGGGAGCAAACAGG
rnacentral:rRNA from 1 species